rnacentral:lncRNA from 1 species
GUCCUAGCUCAGUGUAAAGCACUCACCUAGCACAUGUGAGACCCUGGGUUCGAUCCUUAGCACGACAUAAAAAUAAAUAAAAUGAAAGGUAUUGUGUCUGUCUACAACUUAAAAGUAAAAAUAGCUGUACCAUAUUGUUUUUCUCAAAAAUUACCCCAACAGUAUUCAAAUUUCCCCAUAUUCUUCCAGAACCUUGCCAUUACCCCAUCAAGAUGUAUCCCUUCCCUUUACCCUAAGCAGACCUUUCUGACAACCCUAAAAAGCAAAAUAUGUGUUAGAAAUGGGUUACAUUAAUUCCAUGUGGAAAUCUUCAGAAUUCAGAAGUACUGUUAAGUGGGACUGGGGUUGUGGCUCAGUGGUGGAGUGCUUGCCUAGCAUGCAUGGGGCACUGGGUUCAAUCUUCAGCGCCACUUAAAAAUAAAGGUUAUUGUAUCCACCUACCACUAAAAAAACAAACCAAAACAAAUAUUUUUUUUUAAAUACUGUCAAGUAAGGAGAUGACUGUUGACAAUGCCUUUUUAUCUCCUGACUAUUAAAAAAAAAAAAAAAAUUCUGCGGGUGAACUGUGGGAAAAGAAAGCUAAGAGCAUGAACAUACAUGAAAGCAAAAAUACCUUUAUAGACAACAAGCAAAUGGUAAGACUGCUUCAUCUAAGAAUUAGAAUAUUUGAAUCUUGUAUAAAAGCAUGAUUGGUUUUGGUUGAUCUGCUGUAUAGCAGGCUUUCGGUAUUUCUACCAUUUUCAAUCAUGAUAAAGAGCCUGAUAAAUGUAUCUCAAUCCCUGUCUCAGCAUAAUUUGCAUGAUUUCAAGGAGGAAGAAAAGUUCCAUGUUUACUUGUGUCAUACUAACAUUACAUCUUCAUGUUAAAAGAACAUGUUUUAGAGGUAAGUUUGUAAUUUUAUACUUUCUGGAACAUAUUUUAAAGAAACAUUUUCAUUAACCUUUGUCAGUACAUUGUUAGUGUCCAUAAUUGUUUUAUGUAGGCUCGUAUCCUGCUAUUGACAGUCAUUUCUCUGCUUUUUCAUUCCUACUAGGUAUUUAGGUUUAAAUUAACAAAUACUUUGUGGUUUUUACUAGAAGACACAUGGUAGUUAUCAGUAUACCUCAUAUAAGACCUAAACUUACUAGUGACUUUUUCUUUCUUUCCCCCAUAGUUUUUAUUGAUGUAUUAUCCUUGCACACAAUGGUGGAUUUGUUGUUACAUGUUUGUACAUGGCACACAGUGUAACUUGGCCAAUAUCAUUCCACAUUUUUGUUCUUAAUUUCUAAAAUUUUUCACCUAAGACUAUUAUAAGAUUGAUUAUUUUAUAUAUAUUUUAUAUAUAUUCACUAAUGUAUAUCAGUUUUUCAUCUCUGUGACCAAAAUACUCAAAAAGAACAACUUAGAAGAGGGAAAGUUUAUUUUAACUGACAGUUACUGAGAUUCCAUCCAUAGUGGGCUGGCUCCAUUACUCUGGGCCCAAGAUGAGGCAGAACAUCAUGGUGGAAGGGUAUGAUGGAGGAGUGCUGCAUUCAUGCUAUCUGGAAAGCAAAAAGGGGAAGGGGACACAGGGAAGAUGAACCCUUCUAGGGCAUGCCCCCAGUGAGCCAGGUCCUCCAGCCAUGCUCCACGUGCAUGCAAUUAACCACCCAAUUAAUUCAUUCAAACUAGUAUGGACUGAUUAGGUUACAGCUCUCAGUCCAAUAUUUUACCUAUGAAUAUUCUUGAAUUAACACAGGACACCUCAUAUCCAAAUCCUAACAAUGCUAGUUAGUAAACACACUGCCAGUUAAACUUAUGCUAUUGAUUUUAAGAUACAUGUCAAUUUCUGAGAUAAUAAAAUUGUCUUUAGUUUGAUGAGGUACCAUAUACACUGAAAAGAUAGGAGAGAAUGUCUCCAAAAUAUAGUUUAGGACAUAGUGUGUCCAACUAGAAAAUCAGCUUUACUUAUCAAAUACAUAUAUUCUGUUCUCUUAAAUUAUCAGUCAUAAAAUCUCUAGUGUGUAUAGUUAUCUCUAGGAAAUUUGUGUAAUUUCCUAUGUUAUGAUGGUGCUUUUAUUCUGUUCUAGUUUUAAGUACCACAAGCAAGAUGACUCUUAAAGACUUAUAGAUAAGUCAUGGUAAAGCCUUUUGGAUAACUUCCCAAGAAAUUGAGCAUUACUUGAAAAAAUGGGGUCUUCAAUGAGAGUGGUUUUCUUAUUUUCCCUCUUGUAUAGGUAUUUGAACCCAGCGCCUUGUGCAUGCUAACCAAAUGCUCUACCACUGAGCUACAUCCCCAACUAUUUUUAAUUUAAUUCGAGACUGGGUUACAUUAGUUACUGAGGCUAGCCUUGAGUUUAAAAUUCUGCCUCCACGUUUAUGUGCUACUACACACCCAACAGGAGUAGUUUUCAGUUCUUUGCUUUUAACAAAAUGGAAAAAAAGCUUGAAUUGUUAAUAACAGACUAUAAAAAUAAUUUGGUAAUAGAUCAAUUUAUGACUCAGCAUACAACUUUGAAGGAGUACAAGAAUUUAGUGGCAUCAUUAUGACAAGAUAUUUUUCUAUCCCUUUUUUUUUUUAAAUUUUAGUUGUAGUUGGACACCAUACCUUUAUUUUAUUUAUUUAUUUAAUUUUAUGUGGUGCUGAGGAUCAAACGCAGCGCCUCACAGUUACUAGGCAAGUGCUGUAUCACUGAGCCACAACCACAGCACCUAUCCCUUUUUAAAUCUGUGAAUGAGAUUUUAAAAAUAGUAACACAAUCACUAUUAACUCAUUCUAGCAUUAUUAACACUCAUUAUUAUUUUUAUCAAUUGAAUAGUAGUUGUUGAAGACAACAGUCUUCAACACUUGGAGAUUUGUAGUCAUUGGAAUCAUUAUUUUAAAUUUUGAAAAAAAUUAUUUCAAUAAAUAUGAUUUUAAUAUACUUUGAAAAAUGUGAUUAAGGUAGCAGUAAAAGACAUUUAAGCACUAAACUAUAUUGAGAUUAAAUUACAUGGGGCAGUAUAAUGAAAAUGCAAAUUCAAAAUAAUACAAAUAUUCUAUUAAAUAAAACCUUGUUCAUGUGUUAAGGAGUGAUGGUAUAUAUUCAAUUGUUAGAAUUCAUUAAGUACUUUAAACCAAUGCAAU